rnacentral:rRNA from 1 species
UACGAAGGGGCUAGCGUUGUUCGGAAUUACUGGGCGUAAAGGCUCGUAGGCGGCCAACUAAGUCGGACGUGAAAUCCCCAGGCUCAACCUGGGAACUGCGUCCGAUACUGGAUGGCUUGAAUCCGGGAGAGGGAUGCAGAAUUCCGAGGUGUAGCGGUGAAAUGACGCAGAUAUCAGGAAGAACACCCGUGGCUAAGGCGGCUCUCUAGUACGGUACUGACGCUGAGACGCGAAAGCGUGGGGAGCGAACAGG